GAAGGGACCUAGCGUAGUUCGGAAUUACUGGGCUUAAAGAGUUCGUAGGUGGUUAAAAAAGUUGGUGGUGAAAUCCCAGAGCUUAACUCUGGAACUGCCAUCAAAACUUUUUAGCUAGAGUAUGAUAGAGGAAAGCAGAAUUUCUAGUGUAGAGGUGAAAUUCGUAGAUAUUAGAAAGAAUACCAAUUGCGAAGGCAGCUUUCUGGAUCAUUACUGACACUGAGGAACGAAAGCAUGGGUAGCGAAGAGGAUUAGAUACCCUCGUAGUCCAUGCCGUAAACGAUGUGUGUUAGACGUUGGAAAUUUAUUUUCAGUGUCGCAGUGAAAACUAUAAACACACCGCCUGGGGAGUACGACCGCAAGGUUAAAACUCAAAUGAAUUGACGGGGACCCGCACAAGUAGUGGAGCAUGUGGUUUAAUUCGAAGAUACGCGCAGAACCUUACCAACACUUGACAUGUUCGUCGCGACUCUAAGAGAUUAGAGUUUUCGGUUCGGCCGGACGAAACACAGGUGCUGCAUGGCUGUCGUCAGCUCGUGUCGUGAGAUGUUGGGUUAAGUCCCGCAACGAGCGCAACCCUUACUUUUAGUUGCCAUCAUUUAGUUGGGCACUCUGAAAGAACUGCCAGUGAUAAGCUGGAGGAAGGUGGGGAUGACGUCAAGUCCUCAUGGCCCUUAUGUGUUGGGCUACACACGUGCUACAAUGGUAUCUACAACAGGAAGCAAAACAGCGAUGUUAAGCAAAUCCCGAAAAGAUACCUCAGUUCGGAUUGCACUCUGCAACUCGAGUGCAUGAAGCUGGAAUUACUAGUAAUCGUGGAUCAGCGUGCCACGGUGAAUACGUUCCCGGUCUU
rnacentral:rRNA from 1 species